rnacentral:rRNA from 1 species
UGCAUAUCAAUAAGCGGAGGAAAAGAAACCAACAGGGAUUGCCCCAGUAGCGGCGAGUGAAGCGGCAAAAGCUCAGAUUUGGAAUCGCUUCGGCGAGUUGUGAAUUGCAGGUUGGCGCCUCUGCGGCGGCGGCGGUCCAAGUCCCUUGGAACAGGGCGCCAUUGAGGGUGAGAGCCCCGUGGGACCGUUUGCCUAMGCUCUGAGGCCCUUCUGACGAGUCGAGUUGUUUGGGAAUGCAGCUCUAAGCGGGUGGUAAAUUCCAUCUAAGGCUAAAUACUGGCGAGAGACCGAUAGCGAACAAGUACUGUGAAGGAAAGAGUAAAAGCACUUUGAAAAGAGAGUGAAACAGCACGUGAAAUUGUUGAAAGGGAAGGGUAUUGCGCCCGACAUGGAGCGUGCGCACCGCUGCCCCUCGUGGGCGGCGCUCUGGGCGUGCUCUGGGCCAGCAUCGGUUUUUGCCGCGGGAGAAGGGCGGCGGGCAUGUAGCUCUUCGGAGUGUUAUAGCCUGCCGCCGGCGCCGCGAGCGGGGACCGAGGACUGCGACUUUUGUCUCGGAUGCUGGCACAACGGCGCAACACCGCCCGUCUUGAAACACGGACCA